GCCGGGCGUGGUGGCGUGCGCCUGUAAUCCCAGCUACUCAGGAGGCUGAGGCAGGAGAAUUGCUUGAAUCCGGGAAGCGGAGCUUGCAGUGAGCCAAGAUUGCACCACUGCACUCCAGCCUGGGCGACAGAGCAAGACUCUGUCUCAA
rnacentral:SRP_RNA from 1 species